UCCCAUCCCAAUGCCACCAUCAUGUCCCCAUGGCUGUCCCCAUCCCAGUGCCACCAUCCCGUCCCAAUCAGUGUCCCCAUCCUGAUGCCACCACUGUGUCCCCAUCCCAGUGCCACCGUCACGUCCCAAUCAGUGUCCCCAUCCUGAUGCCAAUCCCAUGUCCCCAUCCCAGUGCCACCACCACAUCCCCACGGCUGUCCCCAUCCCAAUGCCACCAUCACGUCCCAAUCAAUGUCCCCAUCCUGAUGCCACCACUGUGUCCCCAUCCCAGUGCCACCAUCACGUCCCAAUCAAUGUCCCCAUCCUGAUGCCACCACUGUGUCCCCAUCCCAGUGCCACCAUCCCGUCCCAAUCAAUGUCCCCAUCCUGAUGCCACCACCAGUCCCCAUCCUGGUUCCACUCCCAUGUCCCCAUCCUAAUGCCACCCCCAUGUCCCCAUUCCGAUGCCACCACCUCAUCCCCACGGCUGUCCCCAUCCCAGUGCCACCAUCCCGUCCCAACCAAUGUCCCCGCCCUGAUGCCACCCCAUGUCCCCACGCUGUCCCCAGGUGUGGGCACACUACGAGGAGGCUCCGUCGGAGGAGGUGGUGGCGGUGGCAGAGGAGCAGGAACGCUCGGCGUCCUACCGGCCCGUCUUUGUCACCGAGGUCACCGACGAGCUGCACUUCUAUGUGCAGGACGUGGAGACGGGUGGGGCUCGUUAGCGCCUAAUUAUGCUUAAUUAGGGGUCAUUAAAAUGGGGGAGCGGCUUGCAGUGGGAGGACGUGGGGUGGGGAUGGUUUGGCGUGGCAUCUUUGGCCCCGUGUCCCCAAUCCCAGGGGUGUCCCAAUGGGUGACCAAGCGGUGUCCCUGUGGUGUCCCAGUCGGUGUCCCCAUGGUGUCCUCAUGGUGUCCCCAUGGUGUCCCAAUGGAUGUCCCCAUGGGGUCUCCAUGGAUGUCCCAAAGGAUGUCCCCAUGGUGUCCCCAUGGUGUCCCAAUGGACUUCCCAAUGGAUGUCCCCAUGGUGUCCCAAUGGAUGUCCCCUGGAUGUCCCAAUGGAUGUCCCCAAGGAUGUCCCCAUGAUGUCCCCUGGUGUCCCCAUGGUGUCCCAAUGGAUGUCCCAAUUGAUGUCUCCAUGAGUGUCUCCAAGAUGUCCCUUGGUGUUCCCAUGGUGUCCCAAUGGAUGUCCCCACAAUGUCCCCAUGGUGUCCCCAUGGUGUCCCAAUGGAUGUUCCCAUGAUGUCCCUGUCGUGUCCCCAUGAUAUCCCCAUGAUGUCCCCAUGAUGUCCCCGUGGUGUUUUAAUGGAUGUCCCAGUUGAUGUCCCCACAAUGUCCCCAUGGUGUCCUAAUGGACGUCCCAAUGGAUGUCCCCAUGGUGUCCCCAGGAGUGUCUCCACGAUGUCCCUUGGUAUCCCCAUGAUGUCCCCAUGGUGUCCCCUGGUGUCCCCAUAGUGUCCCCAUGGUGUCCCAAUGGACAUCCCAAUGGACAUCCCCAUGAUGUCCCCAUGGUGUCCCAAUGGAUGUCCCCAUGGUGUCCCAAUGGUGUCCCAAUGGAUGUCCCCAUGAUGUCCAUAUAAUGUCCCCAAGGAUGUCCACAUGGUGUCCCCAUGGUGUCCCCUGGUGUCCCCAUGAGUAUCUCCACGAUAUCCCUCGGUGUCCCCAUAGUGUCCCAAUGGAUGUCCCCAUGGAUGUCCCCAAGGAUGUCCCCAUGAUGUCC
ensembl:lncRNA